rnacentral:rRNA from 1 species
UACGGGGGAUCCGAGCGUUAUCCGGAUUUAUUGGGUUUAAAGGGUGCGCAGGCGGAUUUUUAAGUCAGCGGUCAAAUUGCGGGGCUCAACCCCGUACUGCCGUUGAAACUGCAUCCCUUGAGUGCGCGAGAAGUAUGCGGAAUGCGUGGUGUAGCGGUGAAAUGCAUAGAUAUCACGCAGAACUCCGAUUGCGAAGGCAGCAUACCGGCGCGCAACUGACGCUCAUGCACGAAAGCGUGGGGAGCGAACAGG